UACAGAGGGGGCAAGCGUUGUUCGGAAUUACUGGGCGUAAAGGGCGCGUAGGCGGCCUUCUAAGUCGAACGUGAAAUCCCCGGGCUCAACCCGGGAACUGCGUCCGAUACUGGAAGGCUUGAAUCCGGGAGAGGGAUGCGGAAUUCCGAGGUGUAGCGGUGAAAUGCGUAGGAGAUCGGGAGGAACACCGGCGGCGAAGGCGGCUGCCUGGACCAGUCCUGACGCUGAGGCGCGAAAGCUAGGGAGCAAACAGGGAUUAAGAAACCCCAGGUACG
rnacentral:rRNA from 1 species